CGCCACAUUGUUUCCAAAGUUCUUAUAUUAAUUAACUAUUCCCAUCGGCCUGUGGCAGUUUAGCUAAGCUUUGCGUAUCGCUCAGCCUUUUCUUCUCCCCAAAGCCAGUCCGGGUAUUCGGGAAGUGUCACCGCGACAUGAUGAUGCAGUAGAUUACAAGAUUUCAACUAUGAUGUGAGUCUGUGGCACAACGAACUCUCCGGGGCACUAUUCGCCCCCGAGGUCGAUCUUCUUUGGCUUUCUUCUGCUGAAGCAGGUUGGUUCCGCCAAUGAACGUGGUUUCGGCAGCAAUUCGGCUCCUCCACGGCCGGGAUUUCAAAGUCUAGAGCCAGAAGAAACUCCAAAAAUGAGACGGUCAAGAAUGCUAUUACCACCAAAUCCUGUGGCACACCAUUUGCCAGUGACGUGGCGGAAGUGAACAAAGGCUGCGGUAUGCGGUAGUUGAUAGUUAACGAGUUAGUUACGAGCCCAUACUCUAUGUAAGCGGAACGUGGAGCUGUGCGUUGCUGCUGAUUUUACGGGCCC
rnacentral:sRNA from 2 species